rnacentral:rRNA from 1 species
UGGGGAAUAUUGCACAAUGGGCGCAAGCCUGAUGCAGCCAUGCCGCGUGUGUGAAGAAGGCCUUCGGGUUGUAAAGUACUUUCAGCGGGGAGGAAGGGAGUAAAGUUAAUACCUUUGCUCAUUGACGUUACCCGCAGAAGAAGCACCGGCUAACUCCGUGCCACCAGCCGCGGUAAUACGGAGGGUGCAAGCGUUAAUCGGAAUUACUGGGCGUAAAGCGCACGCAGGCGGUUUGUUAAGUCAGAUGUGAAAUCCCCGGGCUCAACCUGGGAACUGCAUCUGAUACUGGCAAGCUUGAGUCUCGUAGAGGGGGGUAGAAUUCCAGGUGUAGCGGUGAAAUGCGUAGAGAUCUGGAGGAAUACCGGUGGCGAAGGCGGCCCCCUGGACGAAGACUGACGCUCAGGUGCGAAAGCGUGGGGAGCAAACAGG